GGUUGAAAUACCGGUUCUUGUACGAUCACUGAAGUUAAGCAACGUUGAGCCUGGCCAGUAUCUAAAUGGGUGACCACUUGGAAAUACCAGCUGCUGUAAG